UACCUCCAUAAGCAAUGAACAUCAAAAUUCAGGAUGGGCAGUUUGACUACUACCCAAACCCGAUGGAUUUUCUUUUGGGCCCCCACUGGAAUUCAACCGCAUCAGAACUGUUCCUUGUAAUGUUUUAGACAUAAAAGUAAGAUCUGGUGUCCUUCUCGAAAGAAAGAAAAAGCUCAAUCCUAUGUAUCAGUUCUGGGCAUGUGGUCAUUUGACAGUAUGGCUUAUAAGCCGCUGAAUUUUAGAUGUUGCAAGGCGCUAGUAUAUCUUGAGGAAGUGGAUCAUAUAGCACUAUGCCUGUAAUUCUGCUGAUGUUUGUCUGAUAUUCGAAAUCGUUGAGCUGCAGUGUUAUUGUGCAUUUUCAUUGUUUACUCUGCUUUGAUCAUAUUUCAGAUUUGAAAGCGCGUCACUGAGUUGCACGCCUGGUUUUGUCAGUCUACAUGAUCAAGUUAUCGCCAUUAAAACAAACAUAGUAGUUUAGUUGCCCAUCCAGGAGUUGCAUUUGCAAGUUGGUGUCCAACAAACCUUGGAUUCUGAAGGGACAAGGUGACUCUGGAGUCUACACGCACUCAUUUUCCAAGGUCGUGAACUUAGUGAUGAGACUAUUGAUUCUUGAGAGAAGUCUUACAUAAAACACGUGCUGUGCAUUGUUGUUCCAAGACUUGCUAUUGUUGCAUUAAGGCCAACUGCAGCUCGGUCAAAAGACAUUUCAUUGCACAUUCUGAAUUCCUGAUGUAAACAGAAAAUUAACGCCGAUGGAAUUGAAGACUAGCUUGACAAUGAUAUUCAACAUGCUGGUUUGAGGUUUUGACUCCUAAACUCUGCCUGCAGCUUGAGAUAAUGAUUAUGAGGACAAUAGUUCUCAAACACAUCUUCAUAAUUGGCUGUCUCCCACCCUCCUCGAUGAAUGAUGUAGCACCCUAAAACCUUUAGAUUCACGACCCUCGUUGAGUUUUGUUGCAUGACUUCCCAAAAGUAAGACCUUAGUCUUAGAGAAAAAGCAUGUUUCUGGAGUUCCAUGUAGCCAAAAGGAAAUGUUCUAUUUUGAUGGGAGCUUUUAGGCACUUGGACUUUAGUUACUGGAUCCAAAGGAAGCUUAAUAUGAAUCUUUGGCCACUUAAGAAAGUUUGACUUAUGUUUUUACGGUUUAACUGCAAUCAGAAUUUAUUUGAUGCUUCUAGAACAUAAGAUAGGUUUAUUUAAUUGACCAGUUGAUAUCAUGUCACUCUAAUGACUGAGUAGUUUCGUACUCCAUUUUUUAGAAGAUAGAUAGUGCCAUCAUGGUGACAUAUAAGGGCUUUGGUCUUAUAGAUCAUAAUUUGUUUCUCCAUAUAUGUUACUUGUGUGAGUCAAGAGGAUAUUUUGGUACAGCAUUUUGUUCAUCUUUAAAGUUAUUUACGCCCAAUAGGCUACAUCCUUUUUAUUGAAAAAAAAUCUUGGUGACUGAAAAAUAUGCAAGUACAUUAUUAAAAGUAAAAGUCACGAUUUCGGUAUGUCCAUAUUCCUCUGCCACUUGCCUUUGAAAAUCUUCUUUCACCCUGGCAAUGAGGCAUGUAUGCUUGAUGCCAAAAGUUUGCAUUGCAUUUCUUAGAAUAAGAAUUUCUGUACUGGAAAAUGUUGAACUUCUGCAUAUCCUCAUCCUGCUGUCUGUUUCAGGUUGCUUAGGAAUAGGCUCUGCAAGAGAGAACUUUGGUCUUCAGUUUCAAAGACACUACGCUUUCCUGCGAUACCUCACGCAAAACCAUCAGGCCUUCUUGUCUCUUAGUUUUCAGGACCUAACAAUUUGUGGAUCAUCAUUGUUAAUAAGCUCAUGGGCUGGGGGAGCCACGAAACAGACAUCCGAGGGAUGAAAACUGGUUGAGAUUGUCGGUGUGUAUAUUAUAUUAUUGUGUUGCAUGUAUAAGUGAAUCUCAUCACCAAGUAGUGGUGAUGAAAUGUCACCUGUGUGGCUGUGUACUCGAAAGUGGAAAUGCAGUUCCAGAUUUCAUUUGAAAUGUCUGCCUUCAUAUGUGCAAAUAACAAGGUCUCGCUGUUGCUACUUGAUGAGUCACAGCACACCUUGGUUCUCUGAAAGCACACUGGUAUUUAGGAGUUAUAACUUAUAAGACAUCCUUUAAUAGUACAGGGAAGGAAAUACUCCCUCAGUAAGUACACAUAACUAAUCUGUGGUUGCUCUCAGCUAUAUUGGAA
rnacentral:lncRNA from 1 species